CAAGCUGAAUUUUGACGUAAUUUCUCUUGAUGUAGCUAGCAGGUGGUAGAGGUGUAUUUGAAAGUCAGCAGCAUUCUGACAGCGAUUAGGAUGUCCUCCGUCUGCUAGUCUUCUUGAUUCUUAAAUUCUGUGGAGCUCAAAUAGACAACAAAGCUUGUGGAACUGAUUAAGUGUUAGCAUAAAAAUCUAGCCUUUAUCAUGUUGAGACUCCUUAAUAAUUAUUACUCCCUGUUUUUAUAUUUUUAUUUUUAUAAAGCAGAAAAAUAUUUAUUUUAUUUUUAUGCCACCACAGUGAAUGUACUUAUGGGUUUCAUGCCACUCGUCUACUCACAUGGGGCUUACUGUUUUUAACAUUUUUAUUUUCUUUUUAAGAUAGUGUGAAUAUGAUUAACUAAGUAAACUAUUUGAAAUAAUUGAAAGGGAAAUGAUAACUACCAAGUUUACCUCUUGGCAAGGCGUUCGGUGUUUUUAAGUCCUCCGAACGGGACUCUCCAUUUUCUAAAUCGUCCUGAGGUUCGUUGGGUGGCGUAGUCGGUACUUCCGGCAGUGCCUCCUCUUCUUGUAUAGUUAUCUUCAUUUUCCAUACCUGACUCGGUGCUUCAAUCUCCUCUGGGUAAUUCUGUUUAAACUCAACGUCUUCUGAUCUUACAACUUCUCCUUCAUAGUCUGCCCAUCCGUCCUUGAUGAUCUGCCUCCUCUGGUUGCGGUUGCGUCUCUUUCUGACCUGCUUAGAUUCUUCAACGAUAUAGUCAGGGUCAGUAAAAUAACGGCGUACCUUCUCUGAGGGGAAGUGCAUAUGGACUUCUCCGGUUCCAAUGUAGAUAAUCGCUUUAACGGUGCUGAGGAACGGUCUUUCAACGAUGAUGGGUGGAUCAUACUCGUCUUCUCCCAUGUCAACAACUUGAAAGUCUGUGUAGACAAAGUGAUCGUCUAUUUUGACUGGGACAUCAGAUACUAUUCCUUUAACUUCUCGAAAUGUCUGAUCUGCCAUCUGGAGCUGAAUGUAUGUUGGUCUUAGUGGCAUGGUCCCGAACAAGAGCCGAUAGGUGACUGCGGCCAUUAAGUUGACGACCGAUCUGGUGUCGCAAAUCGUCUUGUAGAAGUUGUAUCCAUUUGUGGAGCAGUAGAUGCUUGGCAUUCCUGGGUCGUCCUUCUUGGUCAAAAACGGUGACUUAAGUUGGUGAUCUUAACCUCAAAGAACUACAGUGACCAUCUUAGCUGACUCGGUCCACACUUGCUUGUUCUUGUUUCUCCUGUUGGUCCUCUUCCUUGAUUUACGUCUGGAUUGAUCUUGAAUUUUUGUAGUCUUGUUCUUGAAGAAAAACGUCUCCUUCUUCCCUUUGACGUAGAAACUGAUCUUGGCAGCACUAGCGUAGAUGAUAGCUCCCGUGGUGUUCAAAAAUGGCCUCCCUAGGAUGAUAGGUGCUCUCUCAUCAUUUCCGGUCUCUACCACUACGAAGUCUGCUGGGGCAUACAAGGUACCAACUCGGACGCAAAGGUUCCUCACUAUUCCUUUUGGAAAAGUUAUCGUCUGAUCUGCAAACUGCAAACACAUGGUUGUCUCUAAUAAAGGAUAUGUAAAGAAUUUCUCAUAGAGUACCCUGGGUAUAAUGUUGACACUAGAGCCAAAGUCACAGAGUGCUUCUGGAACGUCCACCAUGCCGAUGGAGAUCGGGAUGACGGGGCGUCCUGGAUCGCCUCUCUUGACCGGCAGACGGUCAGUAGAAAAUUCAGUGACGGGGUUACUCCAAUUACCUGCAUCAAACACGUCUACAAGAUUUGCAGAUUCUAAUCCUUCCGGUUGUGAUGGUAUACCGGGGUUAGUAGUAGGAACAGCAGCAGCUAUUUGAUUUAACUGAGAUUCAAUCAUUUUAUUAAAGCUAAUUUGAUUCUUGAUGGCAGUAGAAAAAUUAUCCAUCCUAUUAUUUAUAUUUUCUAGCAUUUUAUCAUUAGAUGCCAAUUUCUUAGAUAGGUUAUCCAUUAGCUUUCCUUGCUUAGACACUAACUCUCUCAAAGGUGGAAAAUUAUUAUUAUUGUUGUAAGAAUUGUUACCUUGACAGCCUCUGUUGAUUCCAACCUUGAUUUUGUUGAGGACGGUUGUAGUAGUAGUUGUUGUUGUUUUUGAUGUAGUUCACAUCCUCAAGUAUCUCAGGGCAGUGGUUGCCUGAGUGUCCAGUGUCUCCACACUCCUCACAAGUCAUGUGAGAGUCGUAGAUGUGCAUAACUUCUUUCUUGUCUCCAGCUCUAUCAUCGAGCUUCUUCAUGAGCAGGUCUAGCUUUGUAGACAGCAUAUCUACCUCUUUCAGCUGAUGCAUUUCUCUUGAUGUAGCUAGCAGGUGGUAGAGGUGUAUUUGAAAGUCAGCAGCAUUCUGACAGCGAUUAGGAUGUCCUCCGUCUGCUAGUCUUCUUGAUUCUUAAAUUCUGUGGAGCUCAAAUAGACAACAAAGCUUGUGGAACUGAUUAAGUGUUAGCAUAAAAAUCUAGCCUUUAUCAUGUUGAGACUCCUUAAUAAUUAUUACUCCCUGUUUUUAUAUUUUUAUUUUUAUAAAGCAGAAAAAUAUUUAUUUUAUUUUUAUGCCACCACAGUGAAUGUACUUAUGGGUUUCAUGCCACUCGUCUACUCACAUGGGGCUUACUGUUUUUAACAUUUUUAUUUUCUUUUUAAGAUAGUGUGAAUAUGAUUAACUAAGUAAACUAUUUGAAAUAAUUGAAAGGGAAAUGAUAACUACCAAGUUUACCUCUUGGCAAGGCGUUCGGUGUUUUUAAGUCCUCCGAACGGGACUCUCCAUUUUCUAAAUCGUCCUGAGGUUCGUUGGGUGGCGUAGUCGGUACUUCCGGCAGUGCCUCCUCUUCUUGUAUAGUUAUCUUCAUUUUCCAUACCUGACUCGGUGCUUCAAUCUCCUCUGGGUAAUUCUGUUUAAACUCAACGUCUUCUGAUCUUACAACUUCUCCUUCAUAGUCUGCCCAUCCGUCCUUGAUGAUCUGCCUCCUCUGGUUGCGGUUGCGUCUCUUUCUGACCUGCUUAGAUUCUUCAACGAUAUAGUCAGGGUCAGUGAAAUAACGGCGUACCUUCUCUGAGGGGAAGUGCAUAUGGACUUCUCCGGUUCCAAUGUAGAUAAUCGCUUUAACGGUGCUGAGGAACGGUCUUUCAACGAUGAUGGGUGGAUCAUACUCGUCUUCUCCCAUGUCAACAACUUGAAAGUCUGUGUAGACAAAGUGAUCGUCUAUUUUGACUGGGACAUCAGAUACUAUUCCUUUAACUUCUCGAAAUGUCUGAUCUGCCAUCUAGAGCUGAAUGUAUGUUGGUCUUAGUGGCAUGGUCCCGAACAAGAGCCGAUAGGUGACUGCGGCCAUUAAGUUGACGACCGAUCUGGUGUCGCAAAUCGUCUUGUAGAAGUUGUAUCCAUUUGUGGAGCAAUAGAUGCUUGGCAUUCCUGGGUCGUCCUUCUUGGUCAAAAACGGUGACUUAAGUUGGUGAUCUUGACCUCAAAGAACUACAGUGACCAUCUUAGCUGACUCGGUCCACACUUGCUUGUUCUUGUUUCUCCUGUUGGUCCUCUUCCUUGAUUUACGUCUGGAUUGAUCUUGAAUUUUUGUAGUCUUGUUCUUGAAGAAAAACGUCUCCUUCUUCCCUUUGACGUAGAAACUGAUCUUGGCAGCACUAGCGUAGAUGAUAGCUCCCGUGGUGUUCAAAAAUGGCCUCCCUAGGAUGAUAGGUGCUCUCUCAUCAUUUCCGGUCUCUACCACUACGAAGUCUGCUGGGGCAUACAAGGUACCAACUCAGACGCAAAGGUUCCUCACUAUUCCUUUUGGAAAAGUUAUCGUCUGAUCUGCAAACUGCAAACACAUGGUUGUCUCUAAUAAAGGAUAUGUAAAGAAUUUCUCAUAGAGUACCCUGGGUAUAAUGUUGACACUAGAGCCAAAGUCACAGAGUGCUUCUGGAACGUCCACCAUGCCGAUGGAGAUCGGGAUGACGGGGCGUCCUGGAUCGCCUCUCUUGACCGGCAGACGGUCAGUAGAAAAUUCAGUGACGGGGUUACUCCAAUUACCUGCAUCAAACACGUCUACAAGAUUUGCAGAUUCUAAUCCUUCCGGUUGUGAUGGUAUACCGGGGUUAGUAGUAGGAACAGCAGCAGCUAUUUGAUUUAACUGAGAUUCAAUCAUUUUAUUAAAGCUAAUUUGAUUCUUGAUGGCAGUAGAAAAAUUAUCCAUCCUAUUAUUUAUAUUUUCUAGCAUUUUAUCAUUAGAUGCCAAUUUCUUAGAUAGGUUAUCCAUUAGCUUUCCUUGCUUAGACACUAACUCUCUCAAAGGU
rnacentral:lncRNA from 1 species